UAAAGGUUAGUUUAUGAAAAACCUUGGUUUGUGGGUCCAAAAAUAAUCCUAAGGAUUACCUUUAU
rnacentral:tRNA from 1 species